rnacentral:rRNA from 1 species
GACGUAGGGCGCGAGCGUUGUCCGGAUUUAUUGGGCGUAAAGAGCUCGUAGGCGGCUUGUCGCGUCGAUCGUGAAAACUCACAGCUCAACUGUGAGCUUGCGGUCGAUACGGGCAGGCUCGAGUUCGGUAGGGGAGACUAGAAUUCCUGGUGUAGCGGUGAAAUGCGCAGAUAUCAGGAGGAACACCGGUGGCGAAGGCGGGUCCCUGGGCCGAUACUGACGCUGAGGAGCGAAAGCGUGGGGAGCCGAACAGG